AAGGCCGCUGGUAAAGCCGUUGAUCAGCUGUUGUUCCUGGCGAUAGCGCGCCUGGCGCUCGGUGCUGAGGCCGGGCGGCAUCU
rnacentral:tRNA from 2 species